rnacentral:tRNA from 1 species
GGGGCAUUCGCCUAGUGGUCUAUGGCACCGGCCUGUCGAGCCGGAUUCCAGGGGUUCGAAUCCCCUAUGUUCCGCCG